rnacentral:rRNA from 1 species
AAUCGUACCCCAAACCGACACAGGUGGUCAGGUAGAGAAUACCAAGGCGCUUGAGAGAACUCGGGUGAAGGAACUAGGCAAAAUGGUGCCGUAACUUCGGGAGAAGGCACGCUGGCAUGUAGGUGAAGUCCCUUGCGGAUGGAGCUGAAGCCAGUCGAAGAUACCAGCUGGCUGCAACUGUUUAAUAAAAACACAGCACUGUGCAAACACGAAAGUGGACGUAUACGGUGUGACGCCUGCCCGGUGCUGGAAGGUUAAUUGAUGGGGUCAGCCGCAAGGCGAAGCUCUUGAUCGAAGCCCCAGUAAACGGCGGCCGUAACUAUAACGGUCCUAAGGUAGCGAAAUUCCUUGUCGGGUAAGUUCCGACCUGCACGAAUGGCGUAAUGAUGGCCAGGCUGUCUCCACCCGAGACUCAGUGAAAUUGAACUCGCUGUGAAGAUGCAGUGUACCCGCGGCAAGACGGAAAGACCCCGUGAACCUUUACUAUAGCUUGACACUGAACAUUGAGCCUUGAUGUGUAGGAUAGGUGGGAGGCUUUGAAGCGUGGACGCCAGUCUGCGUGGAGCCAUCCUUGAAAUACCACCCUUUAAUGUUUGAUGUUCUAACUCGGCCCCGUGAUCCGGGGUGAGGACAGUGUCUGGUGGGUAGUUUGACUGGGGCGGUCUCCUCCCAAAGAGUAACGGAGGAGCACGAAGGUUAGCUAAUCACGGUCGGACAUCGUGAGGUUAGUGCAAAGGCAUAAGCUAGCUUGACUGCGAGAGUGACGGCUCGAGCAGGUACGAAAGUAGGUCUUAGUGAUCCGGUGGUUCUGAAUGGAAGGGCCAUCGCUCAACGGAUAAAAGGUACUCCGGGGAUAACAGGCUGAUACCGCCCAAGAGUUCAUAUCGACGGCGGUGUUUGGCACCUCGAUGUCGGCUCAUCACAUCCUGGGGCUGAAGUAGGUCCCAAGGGUAUGGCUGUUCGCCAUUUAAAGUGGUACGCGAGCUGGGUUUAGAACGUCGUGAGACAGUUCGGUCCCUAUCUGCCGUGGGCGUUGGAAGAUUGAGAGGGGUUGCUCCUAGUACGAGAGGACCGGAGUGAACGCACCACUGGUGUUCGGGUUGUCAUGCCAAUGGCAUUGCCCGGUAGCUAAGUGCGGAAAAGAUAAGCGCUGAAAGCAUCUAAGCGCGAAACUUGCCUCAAGAUGAGUCUUCCCUGGGCCUUUAAGGCCCCUGAAGGAACGUUUAAGACUAAGACGUUGAUAGGCUGGGUGUGUAAGUGCAGCGAUGCAUUGAGCUAACCAGUACUAAUGAUCCGUGAGGCUUAACCUUACAACACCGAAGGUGUUU